rnacentral:rRNA from 1 species
GACAGAGGGUGCAAACGUUGUUCGGAUUCACUGGGCGUAAAGGGUGCGUAGGUGGUGAGGUAAGUCAGGUGUGAAAUCUCGGGGCUCAACCCCGAAACUGCACUUGAUACUGCCUUGCUUGAGUACUGGAGAGGAGAUUGGAAUUUACGGUGUAGCAGUGAAAUGCGUAGAUAUCGUAAGGAAGACCAGUGGCGAAGGCGAAUCUCUGGACAGUUACUGACACUGAGGCACGAAGGCCAGGGGAGCAAACGGG